AUGGCCACAUCACGUUAAAACAUUGAUUUCCAUAUGAUUACCAAAGUUAAGCAACGUUGAACCUAGUCAGUACCUAGAUGGGUGAUUGCUUGGGAAUACCGGGUGCUGUAA